AACAGCAAGGCUCUACUGUUUUGACAAAAUUCAAAAGUGUUUCAUGUGUUGAAAAAUGUGUUUCUAUUAUUAACUAAAAUGAGAAGUUGUCAUGUUGCUAAGUGUGGACGUAAGAUCAGUGAUGGUGUCGAAUUGUUUCCUUUGCCACAAAACAGUGUUCGUCGUCAGCUUUGCCUUGACAAGAUUAAACGUAGGGAAGCUAAUCGUCAUACCAAAAUAAAAAAUAUCACGAUAUGCUCAAAGCAUUUCUAUGGAGGGAAACCUGCAAAAGAAAUCUACCCGAGGCAUCCAGAUUUUGUGCCAUCAUUGUUGUUAGGGGAUGAGCCACUAAAAUUAAUAGAGUCAACUCACCUUUCUGUAAUUCAGGAUCAUUCUUUGCCGAUUGCUUGAUCAACACAACAUUCCAAGUAAUUGCGAAGAGAGUUUGCACACAACCAUGGAAUAUGAAGUUCCCAGCGAUGAGAACCCAUCUGAGACUACAUUACAUCAAGAUUCAUUAUGCCAUGAAAGUCCUUCCCAUUUCACGAACUUCUUUGUAGGUUCCCUAAAAGAUGUAAAGGCAUUAAUUUGAUAGAUAAAAACUUUUUUGUUAUUGAUAUUACUGGCUG
rnacentral:lncRNA from 1 species